rnacentral:rRNA from 1 species
UGGGGAAUUUUGCACAAUGGGGGAAACCCUGAUGCAGCGACGCCGCGUGAUUUAGAAGGCCUUCGGGUUGUAAAAAUCUUUUCUAUGGGAAGAAAAUGACAGUACCAUAGGAAUAAGGACCGGCUAAUUACGUGCCAGCAGCCGCGGUAAUACGUAAGGUCCGAGCGUUGUCCGGAAUCAUUGGGCGUAAAGGGUACGUAGGCGGGUAAGCAGGUUAGAAGUGAAAUCCUAUAGCUCAACUAUAGUAAGCUUUUAAAACUGCUCAUCUUGAGGUAUGGAAGGGAAAGUGGAAUUCCUAGUGUAGCGGUGAAAUGCGCAGAUAUUAGGAGGAAUACCGGUGGCGAAGGCGACUUUCUGGCCAUAACCUGACGCUGAGGUACGAAAGCGUGGGUAGCAAACAGG